UACGAAUGGGGCGAGCGUUGUUCGGAAUCACUGGGCUUAAAGCGUACGUAGGCGGAUAUGAAAGUCAGGAGUGAAAUCCCGGGGCUUAACCCCGGAACUGCUUCUGAAACUCCAUAUCUAGAAUCCCGGAGGGGUAAAUGGAAUUCCGAGUGGUAGAGGUGAAAUUCGCAGAGUAUUACGGAGGA
rnacentral:rRNA from 1 species